rfam:Jatropha curcas cultivar GZQX0401 scaffold285_26, whole genome shotgun sequence.
UUGAAAGGGAUGAUUAUUUCUCCAGAUGAUUGAAUAUGAACAAAUUGAGCGAUCUUCUCUCUUUGUGGGAGGAUUAGUAUUAAA